GAGGAUAUAGCUUUGUGGUAGAGUGCAUGCUUAGCAUGCAUGAGGUCCUGGGUUCAAUCCCCAGUACCUCCA
rfam:Camelus ferus unplaced genomic scaffold scaffold56579, whole genome shotgun sequence.